CUAAGUAAAAAUACUUUACAUAUUUCCAGAUGUAUCUAAAGCAACACAGAUUCACAGGAGAAAAAUGGCAUUGCUCAUAUCAGAGUUCACAUCUACUAUAAUGGCGCCUGUGCAUUUUCUGGACAAGUUCAGGUACACCAUCUGGUAUGGGUGAUAAUCAGUACAUGAGGUGAGAAAAGCAUGAACAAGCAAAGUCAGCAGGAGAAGGCAAGGAUUCCAGUCAGAAGCCCAUCAUUUCUAUUCAGCUGCAGUUUUGCAUUAGUGAACACUGGAUGGGCCAGUAGAAAAUGAGGUUCUGCUCUGAAAAGUGGCUCCAUAAGAACAGCAUA